rnacentral:rRNA from 1 species
UACGUAGGGGGCAAGCGUUGUCCGGAAUUAUUGGGCGUAAAGAGCGCGUAGGCGGUCCGAUAAGUCGGCUGUGAAAGUCAGGGGCUCAACCCUUGAAAGCCGGCCGAUACUGUCGGACUAGAGUCCGGAAGAGGCGAGUGGAAUUCCCGGUGUAGCGGUGAAAUGCGCAGAUAUCGGGAGGAACACCCGUAGCGAAGGCGGCACUCUGGGCCGGAACUGACGCUGAGGAGCGAAAGCGUGGGGGGCAAACAGG